rnacentral:lncRNA from 1 species
UUCAUUUCUUAACUCCUAUUUUCUACCUAUACUUACUCCACGGCGUUCUCAUCCUGUCCCGUGGAUUUAAAUACCGUCUACAUGUUGAUGAUUCCUGGCUCUAGUCCAGACCUCUCUCUUUAGUUUGUAUAUCUAAAUGCCUACUUGAUAUCCCCAUUGGAAUGUCUAACAGACAUCUCAGCUGAACCAUGUCCAAAACUGAGCUUCUAAUCUUUCCUGCAAACCUGCUUUCCUACAGUCCAUCUUCCCCAUCUCAGUUAAUGGCAACUCUAUUUUUGCAGUUGUUUAGGUAAAAAAAAAAACUUGGUGUUAUCUCUCACACUCCACAAGGAAUGUGUCAGGAAGCCCCAUCAGCUCUACUUUCAGGAGGUCUCCAGAAUCCAACCACUUCUCACCAAGCUGUUCCCCGUCACUACCACCUCUUGCCUGGAUUACUACAGUGACGUGUAACCAGUGUCCAUGCUUCAUGCCCUCAUUUGCUUCUAGUGUAAGUUGGAUUAUGUCACUCUGCUCAGAACCCGCCUCCAUCUCACACCCUAUAAAAGCCACAAUCCUUACAGUGAAGCAUAAGGCUCUGCAUGGGGCCCUGUUUCCUCUCUAAACCUUAUCUUGUUCUAUCUCCCUCCUGCUCUCCUGGGUCCUGCUCUACGUUCCUCGAACAUGCCCAGCCUAGUAUCACCUCAAAGCCUUUGAACUUCUUGUUUCCUCUCCCUAGAAUGCUCUUCCUCCUGACAUCCCUCCCCAAGGCUUGAUUUGCUCAUUUCAUUUAGGUCCUCACUGCUCGGAGAGGUCUACCUUGACUCCUCCAUCUAAAACAUCAACUACUGACUUUUCUUUUUUGUUUUUUUUGAGGAAGAUUAGCCCUGAGCUAACAUCUGCUGCCAAUCCUCCUCUUUUUGCUGAGGAAGACUUGUCCUGAGCUAACAUCUGUGCCCAUCUUCCUCUACUUUCUGUGUGGGACGCCUGCCACAGCAUGGCUUGCCGAGAAGUCUGUAGGUCCGCACCUGGAAUCCUAACUGGCGAACCCCGGGCCGCCAAAGCAGAACAUGCGAUCUUAACCACUGUGCCACGGGGCUGGCCCCAACUCCUCACUUUUCUUAUCCUCUGAUCCUGCUUUAUUUUCUUUUCCUUAGCACUAAUCACUAACAUGUUAUUUAUUUUAUUUAUUUACAUAUUGUAACAGCUAAAAUUUUAUGCGUUAGUUUGACUAGGUGCCCAGAUACUUGGUUAAACAUUCUGGGUGUGUCUAUGAGAGUAUUUCUGGAUGAGAUUAACAUUUGAAUCAGCAGGCUGAGUAAAGCAGAUUGCCCUCACCAAUGUGGAUGGGCCUCAUCCAAUCCAUAGAGGCCUGAAUAGAAUUAAAGGCAGAGUAAGAAAGAGUUCACUGUGACAUUGACCUUCUCCUGCCUUCGGACUUGGACUGGGACCGGAACUUAUACCAUAGGCUCUCCUGGUUAUCAGGCCUUUAGAUUCGGACUGGAAUUAGACCGUCCGCUCUCCUGCAUCUUCAGCCUGCCAACCGCAGAUCUUGGGACUUCUUAGUCUCCAUAACCAUGUGAGAGGAGACUGCCAGGAAGACUGAAAGAGGAGGUUCUUCCCGACGGGGGAACAGCAUGUGAAAAGGCAUGGAAGCAAGGAAGGCCCUGGAUGAGUGGGGAAAGGCCAGCUGUUUCAUUUUGUUGGAAGAAAAGUGGAUAUGAAAUUGGAAGGAGUGGAGGGAAGUCCUUGCUGCUGAUAGCUGCUGUGUGAGGAAGGGCUCAUCUCUGUCCCACCACUUUCCUGAGGGCGGUUCCUCAGGGAGCAGGGGGCCUGCUAGGCCUGCUCCUGUGACUUCUAAGAAUCAGAGGUGCAGGGCCUUCUGCCAGCUUGUCCCCAGCCAUGCACAAAGGGCUGGGCCGAGAACCCUAGGCUUCUGACAUCAAGGCUUGCACCCCACAG